CUGGAACACAGGUGCUGCAUGGCUGUCGUCAGCUCGUGUCGUGAGAUGUUGGGUUAAGUCCCGCAACGAGCGCAACCCUCGCCUUUAGUUACCAUCAUUUAGUUGGGUACUAUAAAGGAACCGCCGGUGAUAAGCCGGAGGAAGGUGGGGAUGACGUCAAGUCCUCAUGGCCCUUACGCGCUGGGCUACACACGUGCUACAAUGGCAGGUACAGUGGGCAGCAAUCCCGCGAGGGUGAGCUUAUCUCCAAAACCUGUCUCAGUUCGGAUUGUUCUCUGCAACUCGAGAGCAUGAAGGCGGAAUCGCUAGUAAUCGCGGAUCAGCAUGCCGCGGUGAAUACGUUCCCAGGCCUUGUACACACCGCCCGUCACACCAUGGGAGUUGGAUUCACCCGAAGGCGG
rnacentral:rRNA from 1 species